rnacentral:rRNA from 1 species
CUACGGGGCGCUCCAGUGGGGAAUAUUGCACAAUGGAGGAAACUCUGAUGCAGCAACGCCGCGUGGAGGAUGACACUUUUCGGAGCGUAAACUCCUUUUAUAUAGGAAGAAGAUGACGGUACUAUAUGAAUAAGCGCCGGCUAACUCCGUGCCAGCAGCCGCGGUAAUACGGAGGGCGCAAGCGUUACUCGGAAUCACUGGGCGUAAAGAGCGUGUAGGCGGAUUAAAAAGUCAGAAGUGAAAUCCUAUAGCUUAACUAUAGAACUGCUUCUGAAACUCUUAAUCUAGAAUAUGGGAGAGGUAGAUGGAAUUUCUGAUGUAGGGGUAAAAUCCGUAGAGAUCAGAAGGAAUACCGAUUGCGAAGGCGAUUUACUAGAACAUUAUUGACGCUGAGACGCGAAAGCGUGGGGAGCAAACAGGAUUAGAUACCCGCGUAGUC